rnacentral:lncRNA from 1 species
GAACCCAUGUGGAUGUAGUUACCGCCCUUUGACACUUGAUACUCAAGGACGACUUUGGAUUAAAUUGUCAAUCCAAGAAGAAUGGUCUAUAUUAUGUCUCAAUCUUAAAAAUUCUGUGACUCCUCACUAGGAUUAUUUUGACCAAAAUUUUGUUGAAUUGAAAUACAAUGAUGCAUCAUCUCUAAUUUUACUUGGAGCAGUCAAUCCCAUCUUGACUCGCACUCAGACUUCACAAGUACUUAACUGUAUUCAAAAAUCUUCCAUCAUCGAAUUAGAAAUUUAGAUAGUCUGAUAGCAAAGUAUAGUGAAUUACUUGCAAGUCACCGAGGUAGCCUC